GCGUGGGGAGCAAAUAGGAUUAGAUACCCUAGUAGUCCACGCCGUAAACGAUGAGGACCAAGUGUUGGGGGUGAAACCUCAGUGCUGAAGUUAACGCAGUGAGUCCUCCGCCUGGGGAGUAUGCACGCAAGUGUGAAACUCAAAGGAAUUGACGGGGGCCCGCACAAGCGGUGGAGUAUGUGGUUUAAUUCGAAGCAACGCGAAGAACCUUACCAGGCCUUGACAUGGGAUGCGAAGAUGCAGAGAUGCAUCGGAGGUCAACAUCCACACAGGUGGUGCAUGGUUGUCGUCAGCUCGUGUCGUGAGAUGUUGGGUCAAGUCCCGCAACGAGCGCAACCCUUGUGGCAUGUUGCUAACAGGAAAAGCUGAGGACUCAUGCCAGACUGCCGGUGACAAACCGGAGGAAGGCGGGGAUGACGUCAAAUCAUCAUGCCCCUUAUGGCCUGGGCUACACACGUACUACAAUGGCGGCUACAAAGAGCAGCGAGACAGGGAUGUCGAGCGAAUCUCAUAAAAGCCGUCCCAGUUCGGAUUGGAGGCUGCAACCCGCCUCCAUGAAGUUGGAAUCGCUAGUAAUCGCGGAUCAGCAUGCCGCGGUGAAUACGUUCCCGGGCCUUGUACACACCGCCCGUCAAACCAUGGGAGUCGGUAAUGCCCGAAGCCGGUGGCAUGACCUCAUAAGAGGAGUGAGCCGUCGAAGGCAGGAUCGAUGACUGGGGUUAAGUCGUAACAAGGUAUCCCUACGGGAACGUGGGGAUG
rnacentral:rRNA from 1 species